rnacentral:lncRNA from 1 species
GUACACACUAUUGAUUUGUGGAACUUUCCAUUUCUUUUAAGACUGUGGUUGACCAUGGGUACCUGAAACCAUGGAAAGGAAAACAGCUGUUGAGAGGACUACUUUACAAGGAACAACACAGAACCAAGCAAACGGGCUCCCCCAGGAUUGUUGUGGAACAUCUAUAGUUGAAUAUAAAAGUUUAUAUGUUCAAUUUUAUGGAGAAAAUAUCCUUUUUCAAAGGAAUUAAGAUUGAAAAUUACUGGGUUAUUUUUUACUGCCUAGGAUGGAAGCAAACAAAAAUAUGGAAAGAAAAUAUUUAACUCAUAGAAAUGCAGUCUAGAGGUUAGUUCAAACGACAGACUGUACCAAUAAGUGCAGAUGGGCAAGUAACAGAAUUCCUCUGGGAAAGAGGCAACAAUGUGUGACCUGCUGUCUACCCAGGUAACAAAGCUGCAUGUAACGUACGUUUAGGAAAUAUUUUGGCAUCAUACUACUUGAUCCUCAUGACAAUCUUGUGAAGUUACCAUUGGGUAACCCCCAGAGGAAGAAACUUGAAGUUUAAAAUGUCUUUUAUUUUCCCUAUAUGAAAAGAGAAAUAUUUAGAGUGGGCCUGAUGACUCAUCACAGCUGGAGGCCGACCGCAUUGUGACUUCUCACCUGGAUCUCUGUAGGGCAUCUCAGACUUCUUGCUUUC